AAAGGAAUAGACGGGGGCCCGCACAAGCAGUGGAGCAUGUGGUUUAAUUCGAAGCAACGCGAAGAACCUUACCAGAACUUGACAUCCAGCGAAUUUUCUAGAGAUAGAGGAGUGCCUUCGGGAGCGCUGAGACAGGUGGUGCAUGGUUGUCGUCAGCUCGUGUCGUGAGAUGUUGGGUUAAGUCCCGCAACGAGCGCAACCCCUAUUGUUAGUUGCCAGCAUGUAAAGAUGGGCACUCUAGCGAGACUGCCGGUGAUAAAUCGGAGGAAGGUGGGGAUGACGUCAAAUCAUCAUGCCCCUUAUGUUCUGGGCUACACACGUGCUACAAUGGCUGUUUACAACGGGAAGCGAAGGAGCGAUCCGGAGCGAAUCCUCAAAAACAGUCCCAGUUCAGAUUGCAGGCUGCAACUCGCCUGCAUGAAGGUGGAAUUGCUAGUAAUCGCGGAUCAGAACGCCGCGGUGAAUACGUUCCCGGGCCUUGUACACACCGCCCGU
rnacentral:rRNA from 1 species